CCUACGGGUGGCAGCAGUGGGGGAUAUUGCACAAUGGGGGGAACCCUGAUGCAGCGACGCCGCGUGGGUGAAGAAGCGCCUCGGCGCGUAAAGCCCUGUCAGCAGGGAAGAAAAUGACGGUACCUGAAGAAGAAGCCCCGGCGAAGUACGUGCCAGAAGCCGUGGUAAUACGUAGGGGGCAAGCGUUAUCCGGAUUUACUGGGGGUAAAGGGGGCGCAGGCGGCGAUGCAAGGCAGGAGUGAAAGCUCUGGGGCCAACCCCGGGCCUGCUCUUGGAACUGCGUGGCUGGAGUGCAGGAGGGGCAGGCGGAAUUCGUGGUGUAGCGGUGAAAUGCGUAGAUAUCAGGAGGAACACCGAUGGCGAAGGCAGCCUGCUGGACUGCAACUGACGUUGAGGCCCGAGAGCGUGGGUAGCGAACAGGAUUAGAUACCCCGGUAGUC
rnacentral:rRNA from 1 species